rnacentral:rRNA from 1 species
CCUACGGGAGGCAGCAGUGAGGAAUAUUGGUCAAUGGACGAAAGUCUGAACCAGCCAAGUAGCGUGAAGGAUGACUGCCCUAUGGGUUGUAAACUUCUUUUAUAAGGGAAUAAAACGAGGCACGUGUGCCUUUUUGUAUGUACUUCAUGAAUAAGGAUCGGCUAACUCCGUGCCAGCAGCCGCGGUAAUACGGAGGAUCCGAGCGUUAUCCGGAUUUAUUGGGUUUAAAGGGAGCGUAGGUGGGUUGUUAAGUCAGUUGUGAAAGUCUGCGGCUCAACCGUAGAAUUGCAAGUGAUACUGGCAGUCUUGAGUGCAGGUGAGGUAAGCGGAAUUCGUGGUGUAGCGGUGAAAUGCUUAGAUAUCACGAAGAACCCCGAUUGCGAAGGCAGCUUACUGAACUGUUACUGACACUGAUGCUCGAAAGUGUGGGUAUCGAACAGGAUUAGAUACCCGUGUAGUC